UCAGUCUCCUUUGAAUCUUCCAAAACAGAUAAGAAAUCCAUCCAUGGCAGCAGCUUUCGCAGCUCUAGUUUCUCAAAGAAUAAUCUGCGCCUUAUCUACUAUCACCCCUACCAUUCCUUUCACUUUGAGGAAAAACAGAUUCAAUCCCUUGGAAAAAGUGUCCGUUUCCUGAUCGAUUUCAUGAAAAGCUACGACAAUUCUCAUGGAGCCACAAAAGAAGCCGCAGAAGCUUUAGAGAUGCAAAUUGCGGAAGAUGUGAUCGAAUCACACAUGGAUCAGAUCCGUAGUGGAAAGACAAGAUCAUCUCGUGUCCUGCUUGAUCUGCAGAAAGCAAUCGAAGACAUGGAUUACAUGAGUAGAAAGACUUUAAAAGUGAGAGCGCGAAGUGAAAGGGGUCAUCAGCAGCAGCAGAGCACAUAUCAACACCUCUCGCCUUUACCAUGGUCGGAUUUGAUGAAAUCCUGCAUCAACUUCUGGAUCUGCUGACUGGAGUUCCCUCUAGUCGGCGAGUCAUCCCCAUCUACGCUUGCUACAAAUGCAUUUCAACAUAAAUAUAUCGUGGAACACUUUGAUGUUUGCCUCUGGGCCACAAUAUCUCAAGAGUAUAACCUUCACAAAAUUCUGUCUGAGCUCGAAAAUCCAAUACUGGAACUAUUGGUGAGUUGUAAGAAAGAUUAUACAAGAGUUUACGUGGGCCAAGGUAUUUGAUUGUUCUAGAUGAUAUGUGGAAUGUUAAAGCUGCUAUUCCUGUUUCCGGAUACAAACAAUGGAAGUCGAAUUGUUGUGACUACUAGGCAUUCAGAUGUAGCCGAACAUUUAGGCGUUUCUCCUGUUGCAAUGAGUUUUCUAGAUGAGGACAGUAGUUGGCAAUUAUUUUGUCAAAAUGCAUUUGCAAAGCAGCGAAGUUGCCCUCCUGAGUUGGAGGAGACUGCAAAGAAGAUAGUUGCAAAGUGCAAAGGACUUCCCCUUGCAAUUGUUGUUGUCGGAGGUCAUCUCAGAAAAUCAUCAAUGGCUCUAGACCACUGGGAGCAUGUUGCAGAAUCAAUUUUCAAUCCCACGGGGAGCGAUGAACAAUGCUUGAAUGUAUUAUCUUUGAGUUAUAGCUACUUUCCUGUUCAUCUGAAGCCAUGUUUCCUAUUCAUCGGAGCAUUUCCAGAAGAUGAAAUUAUCAAUGCUCGGGAUGUUUUACAACAGGGCGAAUGGCCCAACUUGGAAGAUGCCGCAAAGUAUUGUUUAUGGGAUCUCUAUAUGAGAAAUCUCAUUUUAGUUGACCAGUGGUACCACCUUGAUGAAAUCUAUACAUUCAAAGUACAUGAUCUAGUAAGAGAAAUGUGCCUAAAGAUUGACAAGGAGGAGGAGUUUUUAUAUGUGUUUCAAACACCACGAGCCAUAAAUAGAGAGCGCAGAGUUGUAAUCAACGGAGAGGUGAAUCAUGAAGCAAUAGCAUCUGAUGCUCCAAUCCGUUGUGUGAUAUGGGAAAGGGGUCAUUACGACAUCAACAAUUUGUAUGAACUGAAACUGUUGAGAACAUUGUGUAUCGUUGCUACCACAUCAACAAGCGGGUCUAUUUUUCAGCAACAUAACUUGCGGUAUCUUAAGGUUGAUUUUGGUUACACGAUUCGCCCAACCCUUUAUUAUCUCCCGUCAUCAAUGUCAAUGCUUUGGAAUCUGCAAAUUGUACAAUUAAUAUAGCAUAUCAAUCAAAACUGAUUGCACCCUAUGAGAUUUGGGAGAUUUGUCUCAUUGAUCCUCUUCUAGUGGAUAGAUUAGACCAAGAAAAUCACUUGGUAAUGAGAAAUCUACGCACACUUUUUAGAGUGGAGAAUUUUAGGCUCAGUGAUGAGGUUUACAAGAGAAUCCCGAAUGUCAGAGAACUGCAGUUAUCCUAUUGUGAUGAAGUAAGUUUGUAUUACUGUCCCCGCAAUCUUAGCUGUUUCAAUCAAUCGAAAGUCCUAUGGUUGCACUUCGAUGACAAUUCCAAGUGGCGUGAGUUUUUUAUGAGCCUCACUUUCCCAACCACGCUUGAGAUGUUACGUUUACGUGGUUGUGGUGUUCAUUGGGAAGAUUUGACAAUGAUGGUUGGAUCAUUGCCCCAUUUUUUUGAGCUUCAGUUAUAUUGGAAUUCAGUCAUUGGACCUAUUUGGAACCCUAUAGAGGAGAAAUUUCUUAGAUUGAAAUACUUGACUAUAUUUGGGUGUGAUGAUUUAGUUUAUUGGAAUGCAAACAAAUGUCAUUUUCCGGUGCUCAAAGGUCUUUAUCUUGGAUUUUUGUGUAAAUUGGAUGAGUUCCCUUCAAGUAUAGGAGAAAUAGCAACACCCAAGUAUAUUGAGUUGAGAUUUUGCAGCCAAUCUUCUACCAUUUCAGCAAUGAGAACAUUGGUAGAACAAGAGGAGCAAGGUAAUGACAACCUUCGACUUGAUGUAUUAUUUCAGGGUGAUGAGGAAACACUUAAGAGCUUCAAGCACGAGGUUCAAGAAGAGGGUCUUACAAGCAUUAAUCUAUCUCUGCAUCUCGUGAGAUCCUGAUAACUUCCAUUUCAAUGUGAUACUGGACAUUUCCGCUACUCCUUCUGGCUGACCCCUAGUCCGAUAAGAAUUAAAUCUUAUCGGGCCGGAGCAGAGUCGCGGAUGUUGUGGGGUCAGCUCAUCGGCCAUGGAAGACGUUUCCUAGCAGUUAUUGGGGACCGGUGAUGGAUCAACCAACCCCCAAUCCAACUUAACUCUCACAGUCACUUACAUAUUUUGGCAAGUAACUUAUCUAUCUCCAAAUUAUCUUGUACAUUCUCCAAACUCAAAUUUCAAGAAUAAAAGCCAAAA